CGGGCUCGGGAAGCCGACGCUGGCGCGGAUGGAAUACAAACUCCAGGUUCCUCUUUUCUCCUAUGCAUCAAUUGUAGUCCUCUAGUAUCUACGUAAGCUCUGCUCACGCCUUUGCCCCCACCCACCCAACACCCCCACUCGCAGCUGGCGCCCGACUUCGACACUGUGUCUGACGCCUCGCACGCAUAGGACGUGCUCCUGCGCCGCCAGGCCAGGUCUGAGUCCGGGUCCGAGGAGGUCCUCGUGUCGGCGCUGCUCGCCCCGCUACGGUUCGUGGGCUGAGACCCGCUGCCCAGGGCCGCGCUCGUCAAGGUCUUCGUCAGUAAGCCUGGCGCGGCGCCCGUCCUGCACUUCGACUGUCGUGCGUCUUGGGUGGGGGAGGAACGCGGCGCUGCUGACUACGCUAUCAACGCUGUCCGGUACCACUCCUCUCCUGACGGCGGUGGGGAAGACGAGUACGAAGGGCCAGCGUUCAGGCGGGCGUCGUUCGUACCAUUUUACAACGAAUAAAUCUAACCAUACAUAGCCUUGGCCUUCUGAACAUUGCUCUGAUUCUAGAGUUUUGGGUGCGAGGGGCUUCAAUCUUUUUUUGUGCCACACAACAACUUCAUGCUUUAGUGUUUUUCCCUUUCUAAUGCCUGCAAUUGUGCUCACCGGUCUAUGUUUUUCCCAUCUAUUGCCUAAUUAAACCUCUAUUUUACAUGUUCUUUAUGCAGAUAAGUGGAAGCAACCUCCUCACUGAUUCCAGCGUUCUGGUCCUCGCUGUUCCAGGCUUCAUGUUGCAGUAAGAUACCUCCCCCUCGAUUGUAGGUGUCAACUAACACAUGAAUUCUUGAUUUAGAUCGUUUUCCCCCGGACUAUGCUAUGUCGAGUAAAUAAUUUUGAUUCUUUCGAGCAUUGGUUCCUUCAUGUGAAGUAUGUGAGGUAAAGCUAGUAUAUUAUUCUUUGAUUGUGUAGGCCAUGUUUGCCUAUUUUUACUGUUUAAGGUAACUUAUAAUUUCUGAUUGCAUUACGUUCAUCAUUAUUCAUGGUUUCCUUCAGGAUUUACCUUCAAAGAUCAUAAAAUAUUUGGGCCAGAAGAAUAGGUUUAGCUUUAGCUCAUGAACGACCAUCCACCGUUAGGAGAUAGAAUUUAGCAUAUUUUUCGGUAAUAGCACUACUUUUCUUGGGGAUAGUUGGCCUCAUUUUGAUUCUAAAUAUAAACUUGAAUAUUGUUAUAUGUUGUUUUGUUGAUAUACUUUUGUGGGCUCUUUGCUUUAAGUGGUUGUCUUCAAUCAGACCACAUGUCUGGAAAUACUUAAGCAGUGAUGGGACUAUCACAUUUAGUAUGCUCAAUUUUACAUUGUUGUUUUCUCUCUUUUUUAUACCUUGUUUUAGUGUGUUGCGCAAUCCACCCAUCUCUUCUUUAGAGUCAAAGGCGAGACAAUUGUCGAUGUUUGUCGGUGUUUCGAGACCGGGGGGGUCCCUAAGCCGACGAGUGAAGUGUCGCCGCGUGCCCCAGCCCAGAUGGGUCGGCGCGAGGCUGAGCGCGAAGGGGGGAAGUGAGAUGGCCGGAGACGUGCGUGAGAGAGGUGGAAAUCCCGCGGCCUUCGUGUUCGUCCCGCGCCCAGGUCGGGUGCGCUUGCAGUAGGGGGUUACAAGCGUCCACACGGGGGAGGGAGCGAGCGGCCUCACGCGAGCGCCUGUCUCGUCCUCGUCCCCGCGCGGCCAACCCUCUCUAAGAGGGCCCUGGUCCUUCCUUUUAUAGGCGUAAGGAGAGGAUCCAGGUGUACAAUGGGGGGUGUAGCAGAGUGCUACGUGUCUAGCGGAGGAGAGCUAGCGCCCUAAGUACACGCCAUCGUGGCGGCCGGAGAGAUUUUGGCGCCCGGUUUGUGUGAUGUCGUGGCCGUCGGAGGAGCGCUGGAGCCUGGCGGAGGGACAGCUGUCGGGGCCGUCGAGUCCUUGCUGACGUCCUCUUGCUUCCGUAAGGGGGCCGAGAGCCGCCAUCGUCAGGGAGCAUGCGGGGCGCCAUCAUCGCCUAUCUGGCGGAGCGAGCCAGAUGGGACGCCGGUCUUGUUCCCCGUAGCCUGAGUCAGCUUGGAGUAGGGUAAUGAUGGUGCCUCCUGUUGACGUGGCCGGUCCGCGCCCUAGGUUGGGCGAUGUGGAGGCUCCUCCGAGGUCGAGGUCGAGUCCGUCUUCCGUGGCCGAGGCCGAGUCCGAGCCCCUAGGUCGGGCGAGGCGGAGGUCGUUGGCUGAGGCCAGGGCGGAAUUUGAGUCCUGGGGUCGUGCGAAGCGGAGUUCGUCGUCUUCUGGGGCUGAGCCCAAGUCCGAGCCCUGGGUCGGGCGGAGCGGUGUUCGUCGUCUUCCGGGGCUUAGUCCGAGUCCGAGCCCUGGGUCGGGCGGAGCGGAGUUCGUCGUCUUCCGGAGCUUAGCCCGAGUUCGAGCCCUGGGUCAGGCGGAGCGGAGUUCACCGUCUUCCGGGGCUUAGCCCGAGUCCGAGCCCUGGGUCGGGCGGAGCGGAGUUCGCCGUCUUCCGGGGCUUAGCCCGAGUCCGAGCCCUGGGUCGGGCGGAGCGGAGCUUCCUAUGGUGCGUGCGGCCGGGCCUGACUGCCUGUCAGCCUCACUCUGUCAAGUGGCACCGCAGUCGGAGUGGCGCAGGCGGCGCUGUCUUUCUGUCAGACCGGUCAGUAGAGCGGCGAAGUGACGGCGGUCACUUCGGCUCUGUCGGCUGAGGGGCGCGCGUCAGGAUAAAGGUGUCAGGCCACCUUUGCAUUAAAUGCUCCUAUGAUUUGGUCAGUCGGUGCGGCGAUUUGGUCAGGGUUGCUUCUUGGCGAAGACAGGGCCUCGGGCGAGCCGGAAAUAUGUUCGCCACUGGAGGGGGGCCUCGGGCGAGGCGGAGAUCCUCCGGGGUCGGCUGCCCUUGUCCGAGGCUAGGCUCGGGCGAGGCAUGAUCGAGUCCCUCGAAUGGACUGAUCCCUGACUUAAUCGCACCCAUCAGGCCUUUGCAGCUUUAUGCUGAUGGGGGUUACCAGCUGAGAAUUAGGAGCCUUGAGGGUACCCCUAAUUAUGGUCCCCGACAGUAGCCCCCGAGCCUCGAAGGGAGUGUUAGCACUCGCUUGGAGGCUUUCGUCGCACUUUUUUGCAAGGGGACCAGCCUUUCUCGGUUGCGUUUUGUUCCGGUGGGUGCGCGCGAGCGCACCCGCCGGGUGUAGCCCCCGAGGCCUCGGAGGAGUGGUUUGACUCCUCCGAGGUCUUAACGCCUCGCGCAAUGCUUCGGCUAGUCUGGUCGUUCCCUCAUGCGAACUGGUCGUAGCCCGGGUGUACGGUCGGGUCCCAAGUUCUCAGGCUGGUAUGUUGACGCUGUCAACGGUUUGGCCGGAGCCGGGUUUGCGAGAGCAGCCCCCGAGCCUCUGCAUAGGGCGAGAGGGCGAUCAGGGACAAACUCGACUUUUUUACAUACGCCCCUGCGUCGCCUUUCCGCAAGGAGGAGGGGGGAGAGCGCCAUGUUGCCCUCGGUGGGCGCCGAACAUGGUGUCUCCGGUGAGCUGCAGGCGGGUGAUCCGAGCGGACGUCCGUGCCCCAUUCGUUAGGGGUCGGCUAGAGGCCUAGAGGCGCGCCCAAAAGUACCUGCGGGUGAUCUGCCGGACCCGGUCCCCUGGCGACGGGGUCCGAGGGCUCGAUGCCUCCCUCCGAUGGGAUUCUGUUACAAGAUCGUUCCCGCUGGUCUCGGAAAUGUCCUAGGGUACCUCGGGAGCGCAGCCCGAGCCUUGGUUAUGUAUCGAACGUACCCAUGGUCAUCCCUCGCUCUGUGUCUGAGGCGGCUGUGAACCCUUCGGGGGCCAGCCUUCGAACCCCUGAACAGUAGUGGGCGCGGAGCCCGAGUAGCCUGAGGCGGCCGUUGAACCCUUCCGAGGGGCCGGCCUUCGAACCUCUGACCAGUAGUGGGUGUGGAGCCCACGUGCUCUGAGGCGGCUGUUGAACCCUUCCGAGGGGCCAGCCUUCGAACCUCUGAUCAGUAGGGAGGCUCGGAGCCUAGUUCCUUCACGGGGAAGGAUCCUUUUCGGGGUAUCCCCCUUUCCCGGUCCCUGUUGCAAGAGAGAGAAAGAGGAAAAAAGGAAAAGGAUACGAAAUCGAACGACGCGGCGUACUUUUUUUGAUGCGGUCAUUAUGGCGAAGGCGAAGCGUCGCUCGCUUCUCCUGCCAGAGGCACCGCCUGUCCCGCCGCGGAGUUAAUGCGACGGGGCGAGUGGUUCGCGGGGCAGCCGUUGCGCGUGCGCGAGCUGUUCGAGGAACGGAACACGGGCGCGUUGUCUUCACGCCGUGGGAGAGGGUUUUCUCGCUGCCCCCGGAUGGGACGUAAGCUUGGCUGACGACGUUGUCCUUCAGAGCGGAGACCCUUGGACCGCGUCGCUAUCCGAGGCUAGGUCGGACCUCGCCAAAGGUGUUGUCGACGCCGAGGGCGCUGCUGCUCCCUUUAGCCGUUAAGAUCCGAGCCUGCAGGAUCGGAUUAUCUUGUAGCGUGUGUUUUCUGCGGCCGCCGAGGCCAAAACACACCCUCGCCGUGUUGUAAAGCCGCGUCUCCUUUCCUCUUGUUUCGAGUAUCUGGACUUUUUUGUCGGUAACAGAAUUGUUUGUGCGAGCGAGAGUUGCUUCUCACGGAAGGUGAUGAGUGAGGUAUCCGUAUCCCGGAGGCGUAGGAGUCCCUCGGCUCGGUCGGCCUUGCCGCUUACACGCACUCUUACCCGUCCAUGGGGUUCUGUCACCGACGCAGUCGAGAAGACUCGAAGAAUUGCUCCGGCAGAAGAGCUUCCGAACAUGAAGACUUGUUCGGUCCGCGGAAUCACUUAUCCGAACGUGAGUUACUUAUCGCAGAAGGUGAUGAGUGAGGUAUCCGUAUCCCAGAGGCGUAGGAGUCCCUCGGCUCGGUCAGCCUUGUCUGCUUACGUGUACUCCGUCGUUUUCAGGAUCCACUUUCGAAGUAGUCGAAAAGCACGAAAGACAUUCUGGCAGAAAAGAUCUUUUUUCGUGGAAAAUUUCGACGCAGAGGGGGUUCCCCCCUUUUAGCCCCCAAGGGAGGGUCGGGCUUUGCCGAGGCAAGGCUGACCCUUCCUUCAUGACUAAACUUAGCGUGGGAGCGAGGUAUAUGAACAACUUGAAAACAUCUUAAGGGUAGAAGCGACGUAGCUGUUGGAUGUUCCAAGCGUUGCUGUAGACCUCGCCUUGACUGUUGGCCAGCUUGUACGUUCCGGGCUUCAGAACUUUGGCGAUGACGAACGGCCCCUCCAAGGGGGGCGUGAGCUUGUGUCGACCUCGGGCGUCUUGUCGCAGCCGAAGCACCAGGUCGCCCACCUGGAGGUCUCGGGACUGGACCCCUCGGGCGUGGUAGCGUCGCAUGGACUGCUGGUAGCGCGCCGAGUGUAGUAAGGCCUUGUCCCGAGCCUCUUCCAGCUGGUCCAGCGAGUCUUCUCGACUAGCUUGGUUGCUUUGGUCGGCAUAGGCCCUCGUCCUCGGGGAACCGUGUUCGAGGUCUGUGGGCAAGAUGGCCUCGGCCCCAUAGACUAGAAAGAACGGCGUGAAGCCCGUGGCUCGGCUCGGUGUCGUCCUCAGGCUCUAGACCACCGAGGGGAGUUCCUUCAUCCAUCACUUGCCGAACUUGUUGAGGUCGUUGUAAAUCCGAGGCUUGAGUCCUUGUAGAAUCAUGCUGUUGGCACGCUCUACUUGCCCAUUCGUCAUGGGAUGAGCCACGGCGGCCCAGUCCACCCGGAUGUGGUGAUCCUCGCAGAAGUCCAGGAACUUUCUGCCGGUGAACUGGGUGCCAUUGUCGGUGAUGAUGGAGUUCGGGACCCCGAAACGAUGGAUGAUGUUGGUGAAGAACGCCACCGCCUGCUCGGACCUGAUGCUGUUUAGGGGUCGGACCUCGAUCCACUUGGAGAAUUUGUCGAUGGCGACCAACAGGUGCGUGUAGCCCCCGGGUGCCUUCUGCAAGGGGCCGACGAGGUCCAGACCCCACACAGCAAAAGGCCAGGUGAUGGGUAUCGUCUGCAGAGCCUGAGCGGGCAGGUGGGUCUGCCUUGCGUAGAACUGACACCCUUCGCAGACGCGAACAAUUCUAGUGGCGUCGGCCACCACCAUUGGCCAGUAGAAACCUUGUCGGAAAGCAUUUCCGACAAGGGCUCGGGGUGCUGCGUGGUGGCCGCAAGCCCCCGAGUGUAUUUCUCGGAGGAGUUCCUGACCUUCGGUGGUGGAGAUGCAUCGCUAGAGGAUGUCUGAAGGGCUGCGGUGGUAGAGCUCCUUCCCUUCUCCCAGCAAGACGAACGACUUGGCGCACUGCGCCAACCGCCAAGCUUCGGCUCGGUCGAGGGGUAGCUCUCCUCGGUGGAGAUAUUGCAGGUACGGGGUCUGCCAGUUUUGAUCAGGCGUGACCCCGCGUUGCUCCCCCUCGACGUGCAGCGUCUCGCCCUCGGGGGCUGAGGGUACCUCGGGCCGAACUGAGGGUGCCUCGGGCCGAGCCGAGGGUGCCUCGGACUGUGCCGAGGGUACCUCGGGCUGGGCCGAGGGUGCCUCAGGCUCGGGCGUGUCGUCGAUCUUGACGGAGGGUUGAUGCAGAUCUCGGGAGAAGACGUCCGGGGGAACCGUUGUUCGCCCUGAGGCUAUUUUAGCCAGCUCGUCCGCAGUCUCGUUGUAGCGCCGAGAGAUGUGGUUGAGCUCGAGCCCGUAGAACUUGUCUUCCAGGCGUCGAACCUCAUCGCAAUAGGCCUCCAUCUUCGGGUCGCGGCAGUGGGACUUCUUCAUGACUUGGUCGAUGACGAGCUGCGAGUCACCGCGAGCGUCGAGGCGUCGAACCCCUAGCUCGACUGCAAUCCGCAAUCCGCUGACCAGAGCCUCGUACUCAGCUACAUUGUUGGACGCCGGGAAGUGGAGGUGUAGCACGUAGCGUAGGUGCUUCCCGAGGGGCGAGAUGAAGAGUAAGACUGCGCCGGCUCCUGUCUUCAUCAGCGACCCGUCGAAGAACAUGGUCCAGAGCUCCGGUUGGAUCGGAGUUGUUGGUAGCUGGGUGUCAACCCAUUCAGCCACGAAGUCCGCCAAGACCUGGGAUUUGAUGGCCUUCCGAGGGGCGAACGAGAUUGUUUCGCCCAUGAUUUCCACCGCCCACUUUGCAAUCCUACCCGAGGCCUCUCGGCAAUGGAUGAUCUCCCCCAGGGGGAAGGAUGACACCACAGUUACCGGAUGAGACUCGAAGUAGUGUUGCAACUUCCGCCGUGUCAGGAUCACCGCGUACAGCAGCUUCUGAACUUGUGGGUAGCGGAUCUUGGUUUCAGACAGUACUUCGCUGACGAAGUAGACUGGCCUCUAAACGGGCAAUGCAUGCCCCUCUUCUUGCCUCUCGACCACAAUCGCGGCGCUAACCACCUGAGUGGUCGCGGCGACGUAGACCAAGAGGGCUUCCCCGGCAGCUGGGGCACCAAGAUAGGCGCCUUCGUGAGGAGCGCCUUCAGGUUCCCGAGGGCUUCCUCGGCCUCAGGGGUCCAAGUGAAGCACUCGGCCUUCCUUAAGAGGCGGUACAGAGGUAGACCUCUUUCGCCGAGGCGUGAGAUGAAGCGGCUCAGAGCCACGAGACAUCCCAUGACCCUCUGUACGCCUUUCAAGUCCUUGAUGGGCCCCAUGCUGGUGAUGACUGCGAUCUUCUCCGGGUUGGCUUCGAUGCCCCGCUCGGAGACGAUGAACCCCAAGAGCAUGCCUCGGGGCACCCCGAAGACACACUUUUCGGGAUUGAGCUUGACGCCUUUCGCCUUGAGACAUCGGAAUGUCACUUCUAGGUCGGAAAGGAGGUCGGAGGCUUUCCUCGUCUUGACUACGAUGUCAUCGACGUAGGCCUCGACUGUGCGGCCAAUGUGUUCGCCGAACACAUGGUUCAUGCACCGCUGGUACGUCGCGCCCGCAUUCCUCAAGCCGAACGGCAUGGUGACAUAGCAGUACAUGCCGAAGGGUGUGAUGAAAGAAGUCACGAGCUGGUCGGACUCUUUCAUCCAGAUUUGGUGAUACCCUGAGUAGGCAUCGAGGAAAGACAGGGUUUCGCACCCAGUAGUGGAAUCCACGAUCUGAUCGAUGCGAGGCAGAGGGUAGGGAACCUUCGGACAUGCUUUGUUCAGACUAGUGUAGUCUACACACAUCCGCCAUUUCCCCCCUUUCUUUCUCACAAGCACAGGGUUGGCAAGCCAUUCGGGAUGGAAUACCUCUUUGAUGAACCCUGCCGCCAUUAGCUUGUGGAUCUCCUCGCCUAUGGCUCUGCGCUUCUCCUCGUCGAAUCGGCGCAGAGGCUGCUUGACGGGUCGGGCUCCGGCUCGGAUGUCCAGCGAGUGCUCGGCGACAUCCCUCGGUAUGCCGGGCAUGUCCAAGGGACUCCACGCGAAGACGUCGGCGUUCGCGCGGAGAAAGUCGACGAGCACUGCUUCCUAUUUGGGAUCGAGCCCGGAGCCGAUCCGGACUUGCUUGGAGGCGUCGCUGCUGGGGUCGAGUGGGACGGACUUAACCGUCUCCGCUGGCUCGAAGUUGCCGGCAUGACGCUUCACGUCUGGCACCUCCUUAGAGAGGCUCUCUAGGUCGGCGAUGAGGGCCUCGGACUCGGCGAGGGCCUCGGCGUACUCCACGCACUCCACGUCGCAUUCGAACGCGUGUUUGUACGUGGGGCCGACGGUGAUGACCCCGUUGGGGCCCGACAUCUUGAGCUUGAGGUAGGUGUAGUUGGGGACGACCAUGAACUUCGCGUAGCAUGGCCUCCCCAAUACCGCGUGGUAGGUUCCUCGGAACCCGACCACCUCGAACGUCAGGGUCUCCCUUCGGAAGUUGGAGGGUGUUCCGAAGCAGACGGGAAGAUCGAGUUGUCCGAGGGGCUGGAUGCGCUUCCCGAGGAUGAUCCCAUGGAAAGGUGCGGCGCCCGCCCGGACCGAGGACGGAUCGAUACGCAGAAGCCCGAGGGUCUCGCGUAGAUGAUGUUGAGGCUGCUGCCUCCGUCCAUGAGGACCUUGGUGAGCCUGACGUCGCCGAUGACGGGGUCGACGACGAGCGGGUAUUUCCCCGGGCUCGGCACAUGGUCGGGGUGGUCGGCUUGGUCGAAGGUGAUGGGCUUGCCGGACCAGUCUAGGUAGACUGGCGCCGCCACCUUAACCGAACAGACCUCCCGGCGCUCUUGCUUGCGGUGCCGAGCCGAGGCGUUCGCCGCUUGCCCGCCGUAGAUCAUGAAGCAGUCGCGGACCUCGGGGAACUCUCUUGCUUGGUGAUCUUCCUUCUUGUCGUCGUCGCGGGCCCUGCCACCCUCCGCGGGUGGCCCAGCCCUGUGGAAGUGGCACCGAAGCAUGACGCACUCCUCAAGGGUGUGCUUGACGGGCCCCUGGUGGUAGGGGCACGGCUCCUUGAGCAUCUUGUCAAAGAGGUUGGCACCUCCGGGGGGUUUCCGAGGGUUCUUGUACUCGGCGGCGGCGACAAGGUCCGCGUCGGCGGCGUCGCGUUUUGCUUGCGACUUCUUCUUGCCCUUCUUCCUGGCGCCGCGCUGAGUUGACGCCUCGGGGGUAUCUUCCGAUGGGCGGCCCUGGGGCUGCUUGUCCUUCCAGAAGAUAGCCUCGACCGCCUCCUGGCCGGAGGCGAACUUGGUGGCGAUGUCCAUCAGCUCACUCGCCCUGGUGGGGGUCUUGCGACCCAGCUUGCUCACCAGGUCGCGGCAGGUGGUGCCGGCGAGGAACGCGCCGAUGACAUCCGAGUCGGUGAUGUUGGGCAGCUCGGUGCGCUGCUUCGAGAAUCGCCGGAUGUAGUCCCGGAGAGACUCUCCCGGCUGCUGUCGGCAGCUUCGGAGGUCCCAGGAAUUCCCGGGGCGCACGUACGUGCCCUGGAAAUUGCCGGCGAAAGCUUGGACUAGGUCGUCCCAGUUGGAGAUCUGCCCCGGAGGUAGGUGCUCCAACCAGGCGCGAGCGGUGUCGGAGAGGAACAGGGGGAGGUUGCGGAUGAUGAGGUUGUCAUCGUCCGUUCCACCCAGUUGGCAGGCCAGACGGUAGCCCGCGAGCCACACUUCCGGCCUCGUCUCCCCUGAGUACUUUGUGAUAGUAGUCGGGGGUCAGAACCGGGUCGAGAACGGCGCCCGUCGUAUGGCCCGGCUGAAGGCCUGCGGACCGGGUGGUUCGGGCGAGGGACUCCAAUCCUCCCCGCUGUCGUAGCGUCCCCCACGCCUGGGGUGGUAGCCUCGGUGCACCCUCUCAUCGAGGUGGGCCCGACGGUCGCGGUGAUGGUGCUCGUUGCCGAGGCGACCCAGGGCCGCAGGCGCUGUGUUGCGCGUGCGCCCGGUGUAGACCAAGGCUUCCCGCAUGAAUCGGGAAGUCGCGGCAUGAUGUUCCGAGGGGUACCCCUGCCUUCAGGAGGCGGAGCUCUCGGCCCGCCGGACCGCGGCGCCUUCCAGGAGAUCCUUGAGCUCUCCCUGGAUUCGCCGCCCCUCGGUGGUUGAUGGCUCCGGCAUCGCGCGGAGGAGCAUUGCUGCUGCAGCCAGGUUCUGGCCGACCCCACUGGAUGCGGGUGGCGGCCUGACCCUGACAUCGUCGGCGAUGCGGUGCUAGAAGCCCUGGGGUAGAUGUCGCAUUUAUCCGGCCAGAGGUUGGCCCGCCCAUGCCUGUCCGACGUCCCGGCGGAUUGGCUCAAGCGCUCAUGCUCCCUCGUCGAGCCUGAGCUGCACCCCGCGGAUUUGCUCAAGCUGUGGGUCGUGACCUCCCAUCGGAACGGGGACCACAGCUAGUUCCCGUGGGAUGUCAACGCGAGGCACCAGCCUAGGGAGAUCACCGUCCUCCGGCAUGCCGAGAUGGUUGCCUUCGGAGGGACCCCCUAGAUCGACGUGGAAACAUUCGCGGCUCGGGCCGCAGUCCUCGUCGCCGAGGCUACGGCUACCGUCGGAACAGUCGGAAAGGCAGUAGUCGCAUGCGGUCAUGAAGUCCCGCAUGGCACGGGGGUUGCCAAGUCCGAAGAAAUCCCAACAGAAGCUGGGCUUGUCGUCUUCCUCGGAACCAGAGGGCCCGUAGGUCAAGACGUCCGUCAGCCGGUCCCAAGGUGACCGCAUACGAAACCCCAGAGGGUUCGGAUUCGCCCCUGCGAGAGCGUCCGCCAAAGCGGAGCCGCUAGGCUGGUCGAGGCUGAAUCCGAAAGGCGUGGGAUGGGAAUCGGUCGGUACCUCUUGGUCGACGGGCGGUGAUGAAGUCACGUCGGGGACUGACUGCACCGUCGUCUCAGGUACGAGGGUGACACCCAGCAAGCCUUUCGCGAGCGUGCUGGCGUCGUCCGUUUGCUCGGGAUUGGCGUGUCGCGGGGAGACAGCGCUCGUCUUCGUUUCAAGCGCGAGGUCGAUGCCCGGCGCCCCCCCCCCGCUGGAGUGCUGGCGUUGUCGACUCGCUCGACGGCCGACGAGGCGCCGCCUCCUGCUUGGCCUUGGUUGCCCCGCCUCCUCCUCCGUCGGCGGGGAAGAGGAUGGGGCGAGCUCGAAGGUUGUUCUUCCACCACGCGAGGAAGACGUCGUCGAUCCCACCGCCGGCGGGCGGACUGUCGGCCGCCAUUGUCGCUGUCGCCCUGCGGUGGGAAGAGUAUCAUGUCGUAGCUGCCGUCGAGGGACAUGAACUCAAGGCUCCCGAAACGGAGCACCGUCCCGGGCCGGAGAGGUUGCUGGAGACUACCCAUCUGGAGCUUGACGGGAAGCUGUUCGUCAACACGCAGCAGGCCCCUACCUGGCGCGCCAACUGUCGGCGUUUCGAGACCUGGGGGUCCCUAAGCCGACGAGUGAAGUGUCGCCGCGUGCCCCAGCCCAGAUGGGUCGGCGCGAGGCCGAGCGCGAAGGGGGGAAGUGAGAUGGCCGGAGACGUGCGUGAGAGAGGUGGAAAUCCCACGGCCUUCGUGUUCGUCCCGCGCCCAGGUCGGGUGCGCUUGCAGUAGGGGGUUACAAGCGUCCACACGGGGGAGGGAGCGAGCGGCCUCACGCGAGCGCCUGUCUCGUCCUCGUCCCCGCGCGGCCAACCCUCUCUAAGAGGGCCCUGGUCCUUCCUUUUAUAGGCGUAAGGAGAGGAUCCAGGUGUACAAUGGGGGGUGUAGCAGAGUGCUACAUGUCUAGCGGAGGAGAGCUAGCGCCCUAAGUACACGCCAUCGUGGCGGCCGGAGAGAUUUUGGCGCCCGGUUUGUGUGAUGUCGUGGCCGUCGGAGGAGCGCUGGAGCCUGGCGGAGGGACAGCUGUCGGGGCCGUCGAGUCCUUGCUGACGUCCUCUUGCUUCCGUAACGGGGCCGAGAGCCGCCAUCGUCAGGGAGCGUGCGGGGCGCCAUCAUCGCCUAUCUGGCGGAGCGAGCCAGAUGGGACGCCGGUCUUGUUCCCCGUAGCCUGAAUCAGCUUGGAGUAGGGUAAUGAUGGCGCCUCCUGUUGACGUGGCCGGUCCGCGCCCUAGGUUGGGCGAUGUGGAGGCUCCUCCGAGGUCGAGGUCGAGUCCGUCUUCCGUGGCCGAGGCCGAGUCCGAGCCCCUAGGUCGGGCGAGGCGAAGGCCGUUGGCUGAGGCCAGGGCGGAAUUUGAGUCCUGGGGUCGUGCGAAGCGGAGUUUGUCGUCUUCUGGGGCUGAGCCCAAGUCCGAGCCCUGGGUCGGGCGGAGCGGAGUUCGCCGUCUUUCGGGGCUUAGCCCGAGUCCGAGCCCUGGGUCGGGCGGAGCGGAGUUCGCCGUCUUCCGGGGCUUAGCCCAAGUCCGAGCCCUGGGUCGGGCGGAGCGGAGUUCGCCGUCUUCCGGGGCUUAGCCCGAGUCCGAGCCCUGGGUCGGGCGGAGCGGAGUUCGCCGUCUUCCGGGGCUUAGCCCGAGUCCGAGCCCUGGGUCGGGCGGAGCGGAGCUUCCUAUGGUGCGUGCGGCCGGGCCUGACUGCCUGUCAGCCUCACUCUUUCAAGUGGCACCGCAUUCGGAGUGGCGCAGGCGGCGCUGUCUUUCUGUCAGACCGGUCAGUGGAGCGGCGAAGUGACGGCGGUCACUUCGGCUCUGUCGGCUGAGGGGCGCGCGUCAGGAUAAAGGUGUCAGGCCACCUUUGCAUUAAAUGCUCCUGUGAUUUGGUCAGUCGGUGCGGCGAUUUGGUCAGGGUUGCUUCUUGGCGAAGACAGGGCCUCAGGCGAGCCGGAAAUAUGUUCGCCGCUGGAGGGGGGCCUCGGGCGAGGCGGAGAUCCUCCGGGGUCGGCUGCCCUUGUCCGAGGCUAGGCUCAGGCGAGGCGUGAUCGAGUCCCUCGAAUGGACUAAUCCCUGACUUAAUCGCACCCAUCAGGCCUUUGCAGCUUUAUGCUGAUGGGGGUUACCAGCUGAGAAUUAGGAGCCUUGAGGGUACCCCUAAUUAUGGUCCCCGACAAUGUUGUAGAAAGUUUAGCUAACAUCCAAGUUUCUUCUAUAUGUUUUCCUUUCUAAUCCUUUUGGUGAUGCAUAUGGGAAUGACUAAGUCAACAAAAAAUGUUUGUAGGACCGAGUAAGACAAGAAAAAGACAAACAACACAAUCAGUCUGGUAUGCCUAAUUAUUCCCUUGAUUCAUGAUUAUGGUUUUGCCUCUUGAUUUAAUGUGAAGUUCCCCUCAUCCACCCUUUUCUAUCAUUCGAGAUAUACAACCCACCGUAAGGUUAGAGAUAUAUUUUCUCAAUUGGCGAUUACAAUUUAUGUCCUGUUCCAAGAAAAGAGAAGCCACUACAACCUUGAAUUCUUUAUGUUGUCAUCGUGUAUGUUUAGUAGGCAUAAAAGAAGAAAAAGGCAUUUUUCUAUGGAGAUUCAUGCUGGUGGCAUAAAUCUAACUACAACUAUAAAAGGGAAGCAGUACAACAACUCUUGUUUGAUUAAGUAUAUCCUUGAUUCAUGACUAGAGUUUUGUUAUUAAAUCGUUGAAAAUUCAAGCUAUUGUCUUUUGUGUUCGCUGACAUUAUGGUCUGUGUUUAGCAGGUACUCGAGUGAAAAAGAUUUCACCAUAGUCAGGUCCAUGGUUAUGACAAAUCACAGUUGUCUGUUACAUUACAUCGAUGUAAUCUUCACGCAAGAUCUCAACAAUGUUUGGUUGGUUACUUACACCCCACUCUAGAUUAACAUGUUCUGAAUUUUUUGUUCAAAGCUACAAUUAACACAUGCUAAAUGGUAAUUUCUUUAAAAUGAUCCAAUUGAGUUUGCAACUGCACAUGGUUUUUGCCAAGUUUCAUCAAGUACUGCUCCAACAGAACAAACAAUCAUGGAAAUUGGAAUGUUGAGCUAAGUCAUUGGGGUCUCAAGAAGAGGUCCAGGAAUCCUAAGAAUGAUAUGAUAACCAUGCUUAAAUACAGAUGGCAUAAAUUUUGCAUUGAUAACGAUGUAGGUUGGUGAUAGGUGUUUUUUCAUGUUCAUUCAUGGGCCUCACCUUUUCUGAUGUGACGAAAGAAAACUAUAUUGAUCUUGAUCUGAGCUAUACAUUGAAGGUCGAUAUAGUAAAGGAGCACUUAGACAUUGCUGCUCAUAGAUUUAGGUGCUCAUAGAUUUAGGUACUGCCAUCAAACAUUGUCUUCUGAUCCUUAUAUGCAGUGCCUGGUUCUUAUAGCUUGCAUGUAUUUUAUGCAUUGACUAUAGGGAAAAGAAGUGUGUGCAUUGCUGGUGAUCCAAUUACCUCUAAAUCAAGUUAAUAACUUAAAAUAAUUGCAGUUUAAAUGUUAUGUCGUAUGCUCUCUACUAAUACUAAUCGUUAUUUCAAAACUUUGUAUUUAAUACUAAUCGUUAUUUCAAAACUUUGUAUUGCUAAAUUCAAACGCGCGCGAUGGAGCGCGCC
rnacentral:lncRNA from 1 species